UACGUAGGGACCGAGCGUUGUCCGGAUUCAUUGGGCGUAAAGAGCUCGUAGGCGGCCGCUCAAGUCGAAUGUGAAACCUCGAGGCUCAACCUCGAGCCUGCAUUCGAUACUGGGCGGCUAGAGUCUGGUAGGGGGAUCUGGAAUUCCUGGUGUAGCGGUGGAAUGCGCAGAUAUCGGGAGGAACACCAGUGGCGAAGGCGGCACUCUGGGCCGGUACUGACGCUGAGGAGCGAAAGCGUGGGGAGCGAACAGG
rnacentral:rRNA from 1 species